AGCUGCACCGGGUCCACCGCACGGGAGGUGAGCAGGUAGUCCCGCAUCACGAUGCCGUGCCGGCCCUC
rfam:Streptomycetaceae bacterium MP113-05 genomic scaffold scaffold00004, whole genome shotgun sequence.